AAAUUGAAGAGUUUGAUCAUGGCUCAGAUUGAACGCUGGCGGCAGGCCUAACACAUGCAAGUCGAACGGUAGCACAGAGAGCUUGCUCUCGGGUGACGAGUGGCGGACGGGUGAGUAAUGUCUGGGAAACUGCCUGAUGGAGGGGGAUAACUACUGGAAACGGUGGCUAAUACCGCAUAACGUCGCAAGACCAAAGAGGGGGACCUUCGGGCCUCUUGCCAUCAGAUGUGCCCAGAUGGGAUUAGCUGGUUGGUGAGGUAACGGCUCACCAAGGCGACGAUCCCUAGCUGGUCUGAGAGGAUGACCAGCCACACUGGAACUGAGACACGGUCCAGACUCCUACGGGAGGCAGCAGUGGGGAAUAUUGCACAAUGGGCGCAAGCCUGAUGCAGCCAUGCCGCGUGUAUGAAGAAGGCCUUCGGGUUGUAAAGUACUUUCAGCGGGGAGGAAGGUGUUGUGGUUAAUAACCGCAGCAAUUGACGUUACCCGCAGAAGAAGCACCGGCUAACUCCGUGCCAGCAGCCGCGGUAAUACGGAGGGUGCAAGCGUUAAUCGGAAUUACUGGGCGUAAAGCGCACGCAGGCGGUCUGUCAAGUCGGA
rnacentral:rRNA from 1 species